CUCACCAAGGCGACGAUCCGUAGCUGGUCUGAGAGGACGACCAGCCACACUGGAACUGAGACACGGUCCAGACUCCUACGGGAGGCAGCAGUGGGGAAUUUUGGACAAUGGGGGGCAACCCUGAUCCAGCCAUUCCGCGUGAGUGAAGAAGGCCUUCGGGUUGUAAAGCUCUUUCAGCAGGAACGAAACGGUGGCCACUAAUACUGGCUACUAAUGACGGUACCUGAAGAAGAAGCACCGGCUAACUACGUGCCAGCAGCCGCGGUAAUACGUAGGGUGCGAGCGUUAAUCGGAAUUACUGGGCGUAAAGCGUGCGCAGGCGGUUCCAUAAGACAGAUGUGAAAUCCCCGGGCUUAACCUGGGAACUGCGUUUGUGACUGUGGGACUCGAGUGUGGCAGAGGGGGGUGGAAUUCCACGUGUAGCAGUGAAAUGCGUAGAGAUGUGGAGGAACACCGAUGGCGAAGGCAGCCCCCUGGGUCAACACUGACGCUCAUGCACGAAAGCGUGGG
rnacentral:rRNA from 1 species